AUGAAGGACGUGCUAAUCUGCGAUAAGCGCCGGUAAGGUGAUAUGAACCGUUAUAACCGGCGAUUUCCGAAUGGGGAAACCCAGUGUGAUUCGUCACACUAUCAUUAACUGAAUCCAUAGGUUAAUGAGGCGAACCGGGGGAACUGAAACAUCUAAGUACCCCGAGGAAAAGAAAUCAACCGAGAUUCCCCCAGUAGCGGCGAGCGAACGGGGAGGAGCCCAGAGCCUGAAUCAGCAUGUGUGUUAGUGGAAGCGUCUGGAAAGGCGCGCGAUACAGGGUGACAGCCCCGUACACAAAAGCGCAUGUGCUGUGAGCUCGAUGAGUAGGGCGGGACACGUGGUAUCCUGUCUGAAUAUGGGGGGACCAUCCUCCAAGGCUAAAUACUCCUGACUGACCGAUAGUGAACCAGUACCGUGAGGGAAAGGCGAAAAGAACCCCGGCGAGGGGAGUGAAAAAGAACCUGAAACCGUGUACGUACAAGCAGUGGGAGCACCCUUCGGGGUGUGACUGCG
rnacentral:rRNA from 1 species